GUCAUAUUCCAGCUCUCGACUCCAAUUGGCCGGUCGGGAAGACGAGGAGGCGGGGCGCUGUUUCGGGCGUUUGUAAGAACGAAGCUCUUUGGCCGGCAAAUGCCCCUCUCACCUGAGGGCGGAAGUUCGCCUACCAACCCGGAAGAGCCGCGGAGGCUGAAUGGAGCCUGGGCAACGUGUAGCGGGGCGGGACCUUUGAGAGUUGUGUCGGGCGUUUCUCCUACUGUUUUCGUACCGUCAGGUAGAAGUCCUUGAACAUAUUAAAAUAAGCAUGUAUACCUACACAACACUGGGAGUGUUAUGAACAACUAACUUCAGC